ensembl:lncRNA TARID TCF21 antisense RNA inducing promoter demethylation
GUUCUCGCGGGGUGGGACAGAGAGAGGAGCAUUGCGAGGGGGAAGCAGAGACAGAGAGCACUGAGGGCAGGGGUCGCCUUCCCGGGGCCCGCUCCCCCCGGGAGCGCGCCUUUCCCAGACUCGCACCUCCAAGGUCAGGACGCGGUGGUUCCACAUAAGCGGCUCGCGGUCACCACUUCUUUCAGGUCACUCUCGGGUUUCCCGGCCACCAUAAAGGGCCACGUCUGCGGGAAAGAAGAGGGUGGAGGAGAUGCUGCUACAAAGAGACCAAUCAACAACUGCUCAGCAGAGAUACAGAUCUGAAGCACAGAAGUGCAAUAGACCUUCCUGAUGCCUUCGCCAGACAACACGAACCUGCAAGUAAUCAUCCGACCAACUUCCUCUACUGCUUGGGAAUUGCAGGUUGUAUAAUCUUGGGAGGUCACUUCAACUAUACAAUUGGACUAAGAACACUGACUCUCGUGGGUGUUAUAAUUAAAUCAGGUAAUAUAUGGUAAGGUAAGCAUUGAUUAGUCUCUUCAUUAGUUGAUUAGCCUCUUCAAAUGUUA